GACGAACGCUGGCGGCGCGCCUAACACAUGCAAGUCGAACGGAGUCAAGAGGAGCUUGCUUUUCUUGACUUAGUGGCGAACGGGUGAGUAACGCGUGAGUAACCUGCCCUGGAGUGGGGGACAACAGUUGAAAACGACUGCUAAUACCGCAUAAGCCCACGGAUCUGCAUGGAUCUGCGGGAAAAGGAUUUAUUCGCUCUAGGAUGGACUCGCGUCCAAUUAGCUAGUUGGUGAGGUAACGGCCCACCAAGGCGACGAUUGGUAGCCGGACUGAGAGGUUGAACGGCCACAUUGGGACUGAGACACGGCCCAGACUCCUACGGGAGGCAGCAGUGGGGGAUAUUGCACAAUGGGGGAAACCCUGAUGCAGCGACGCCGCGUGGAGGAAGAAGGUUUUCGGAUUGUAAACUCCUGUCGUUAGGGACGAUAAUGACGGUACCUAACAAGAAAGCACCAGCUAACUACGUG
rnacentral:rRNA from 1 species